UAGCGAACAAUAAUUAUUAUUUUCUUUUUCCUGAGUUUCUUUUAUUUUGGAUACCACCCACCGACUCUCCUAUCUCAUGUAACACUGUCCAGACACUAGAAACCACAACUCUCUCCAUCCAGUAACUACCAACGAACACCCAAUCUAAACUACCACCCAUAACACCCUUUUCCAUUUUUUUGAUGAAACUCCAUCAAACAAUCCAACAAACCAACAUUAUUCGACAAGUUCAUCAUUCAACAAGUUCCUUCACACUAAAGCUUCUACCAAAGCAAACAAAUACCACCCUCUAAAUUUCCUCCUUUUUUUCAACCAUCUCCAUCUCUAUCGUCAAACUCAUCUCCCUCAAAACUCACUAUCAUAAAUAUCCCAUAAAGUAUAAAAUUUGUUAAAAAAAUAUUUCAAAAUCUGAUGAACAAAACAACAAGGACAACAAUUUCAGUGAGCUAGAGGUACAGUCAUCAUGACGUCGAUGCCAACAUAACCAGUUCUUACUCCGACUUCUCCUUGUCUUUUUCAACAAAGUUGUGAUGCUAGAGAAAUUCAAAAUAGAAACCAUCUCACUCUUUCAAUGACCGUAAAAUCAAACAGUAAAACAAUGAUGAGCCAUGGUGAAAAAAACUAUCAGUAAAUUGAAAAUUCCAGAUCUAGCCGAAAAUACAAAAAAUAACAAAGAACAGGUUUUAACUCCAGCGAAAUGGCAAAAAGAUAAGGAGGUCAAAAGAUAUGGAUUGGAGUUGAAAAUUAUAAAAGGGAAGCAUCGAAGAGUGCAGCUGAAGAUAUGGUUUGCAUCAGCCUUAGUUACUGUGACAACAGUCCACUAAUUGUAGUCGUGAUCAGUGAAGAUGGUCAGAGCAAUAUGUUCAAGGAUUCUAACUGCGGUCGCAUCGGGCGGUCACAGUCAAAUACUUGCGAUCGCGGAUCAGUAGGAACUGGUCCAAGAGCAGAAUUGUUAAAUGUCAUGGAUGAAUCCCAAAUCAUACAUAAGAAUAAACCCUUUCUUCUUUGGGUAUUGCUUGUCUUACAAUAUAGUUUUGAAUUAUAAGCUUGAAACCCCAAUUGGGUAAGUGUGUAAUUAACUUUGGAGACUCAAAUUUCUUAAUUUCUUAUUGAAGAAUGAAUGUUUUAGUUGACCCA